GAUGAAGAACGUAGCGAAAUGCGAUAAGUAAUGUGAAUUGCAGAAUUCAGUGAAUCAUCGAAUCUUUGAACGCACCUUGCGACCUUUGGCUAUUCUGAAGGGCAUGCCUGUUUGAGUAUCGUGAACACCUCAACUCUCAUGGUCUGCCAUGAUGAGCUUGGACUUUGGGGGUCUUGCUGGCCUACUGUCAGCUCCUCUCAAAUGAAUCAGCUUACCAGUGUUUGGUGGCACCACAGGUGUGAUAACUAUCUACGCUUGUGGUUUUCUGCCAGGUAACCUCCAGUGAUGGAGGUUCGCUGGAGCUCACAAAUGUCUCUCCGCAGCGAGGACAGCUUUUUGAACGUUUGAUCUCAAAUCAGGUAGGACUACCCGCUGAACUUAAGCAUAUCAAUAAGCGGAGGA
rnacentral:misc_RNA from 1 species